rnacentral:rRNA from 1 species
UACGUAGGCACCAAGCGUUGUCCGGAUUUAUUGGGCGUAAAGAGCUCGUAGGCGGCUUGUCGCGUCGUGUGUGAAAUCUCAGGGCUCAACUCUGACAUUGCAUACGAUACGGGCAGGCUUGAGUUCGGUAGGGGAGACUGGAAUUCCUGGUGUAGCGGUGAAAUGCGCAGAUAUCAGGAGGAACACCUGUGGUGUAGACGGCUCUCUGGACCGCAACUGACGCUGAGACACGAAAGCGUGGGUAGCAAACAGG